UUCUCCAAUCUCCUGGGUUUUCGCCUAAAGUUUCUAAAGCUUUCAUAUUACCAUUUAAGUCGUCUAUUAACAUACGUAAUCUUCUGGCAGUACUAUCUUGUAAUGGUUCUUACUCGACAAUAUUUCGGACGUGUCUUUGAACUAACACCUUUUUAUUAUUAUAACAUUCAAUUAAUGUAGUCCAAGCGGCCUUCUCUUCAAAUUAAAAAAAUUUCUUUCCCCCUUCUUAUACUUACUGCUUAAGUCUUAUUUAACUAAUCACUAUUUCCAAAUCCGGUUUGGAUCUUCUGUCUCGGAAAUUGAAAAUUUUUCGCUGGUAUCCCUUAGGGUGGAAUCCUCUCACCCCUUUUAUUCAAUAUUUACACAUCAAACAAGCCUGUCUCUAAAAUUACUAUAGUAGCUGAUUACGUGGUUGGCAAAGCCAUAAUCUCAAUUGACAAAAACCCCCAAAUUGCAUCUUUAAACCUUCAAAUUCAUCUGAAUUUAAUAUCAGAAUGGUACAUGAAAUGUCAAACUAAACCAAAUCAAAAUAACCAGAUACCUUAGACUCAAUUUGGAUAAACGCCUUACUUGGAACGCACACAUCCGUAUCAAAAGACUUGCUUUAAAGAUUGACUCCGCAGUCUAUGCCCCUUGCUUACAAAUAAUAAACACUCUAAACUAAAAGUUAAAGUUCUUAUGUAUAAAACACUAUUAAAACCAAUGUGGACCUACAGUCUUCAAUUGUGGGGUACUGCUAAAGUAUCUAAUACCAACAAAAUCCAACAGUUCCAGAAUAUUGACCUUAGAAAAAUUACGAAUUCUCCACCUUUUGUGUCCAAUUAUACCCUACAUAAAGAUCUUAUAAUGAAAACUGUGACAGAAGAAGCUGUAGAUUUCUACAAAUGUUUUCAUAAUCGCCUACAAACCCACCAAAAUCCAUUGCUAAAGAGCCUCAACACUCAAACCAUAUCGGGAAACCCCGGGCGUCGUCUAAAAAGGAACUGGUGCCGUGACUUGUUAUAAUAAAAAAUAAAAAAAAACAACCAAAUUCUAGACUCUAGACAACGUAAAUUUCCAGCCAAGAGUCACCAAUGGAUGAUUUGUUAAUGAAAAAUAUUCAUGCUACUAUUAUAAUAUCAUAUAUACUUAUUGUGCUAUGUUGUACAGAUUGUGUAUUUCAAAUUGUAAAUAAAAAAAAAAAAUGUAUGAAAACUUAGACUCUAAAAAUAUACAAUUCAAAUAAAAAUCAAUACACUGUUGGCAAUAAUAGAAGAUAAGGGUUCAAAUAUCGUUCCUCAACCAAUAAAACACCCAUGCAGCAACCAACAUUUAUAUCAAAUGAAAAAGAAUUACUUAAGGUUUCGAUAUAAAAAACAAUUAUUUUGAUUUGUUUAUUUUGUUAGUGUUAUGAAAAUUAAAAAUAAAUAAUAUCAAAAUUUACCAAUUUUAAAAAUGUGAUUAUUUUGGAAAUUUCUCCCAUUUAAAAGGGACGAGUAAAAAUUUUUAAUUUUAAGAGCAAUGUUUUCAACUAGAUACGAUUUGAGAUCUUUUGUAAAUUAGAUUCGUGUAAAUUUUAUAUUUAUUGGUGAACUCAUUACAAUUACAAACUCAUAUAAAGAAUUUUAAAAUAAACAAAUAAAAGUAAAAUUUGAACACAAAAAUAGAAUGUUUGUUAACUACGGUCGCCGUUUGCACGUAGAAGAUAAAUCAUCGGGACAUAUAUAUAUGUUCCACUCUAAAAUUUAAAUAAUCUAAAAUUCAAAAUUGUUGAAUAAAAUAUUGGUUAUUAGCUUCGAUGCGAAGCUGAAAAGGUAUUGGUUUUACUAUGAUGUGUUUUUUUUUUUUUUUUUGGGUCUGUUACCACUUUUUCUCAGCUCUCACCGAACCGAUUUCUUUCAAUGAUACGUCAAAAGAUCACAAAUCGUAUCUAGUCGAAGACAUUACCCUUAAAAAUUGAAAAAAAAUCCCUCGUUCCCCGUAAAAGGGGGAAACCUCCAAAAAAAUUACAAAUUUAAAAAUCGCUAAUUUUCGAAAUUUUUUCAAUUUUUUUUACUUAAAAGUGCCAUAACUUUUUCAAAAAUGAACAUAUCAAUAUAAUUCUUUUUUAUAUAGAUGCAUAAUAUCAUUACCUUUCAUUUGGUAUAUUUUUUUCAUAAAUUUAACCCUUAACCUGCCCACAAGGGGGGAUUUAAAAUGACAACUUUUUCACAAAAAAUUAAUUUUUUUAACUUAAAUUUUGAAAAUGUUCCGGAAGGUCUGACACUUUUAUAUAUAUCUUAAAUUAAAGCUAAUGUAAUCUACUUUAUUAUGGUAAAAAAAAAAUUUCGGACUUUAUUUUGUCUUCACGGUGAAAAUGGCUACCAAAUGCUAUUAUUGUAAGAAAAUUCUCAAUUUUACUUUUUACAUUUUUAACUUUAUAAUGCUAUAACUUAUUGAAAAGUGUAUUGAUCAAUAUAAUUUUUCUAUGAGAAAUACUAUUUUUUAAUAAUCCCUUUUUCAUUAGACAUACUUUAUCUUAAUCAGGAUAUUAAUAAGGAACUAGCAGUUUAUGAAGCUUUUGGAAUAAUCCACCAAUUUUUUAAAAUUAAACACUAUCUAAAGAUUUGCAUCGAAGCGUUUUUUUUUUUAUAGUGAUUUUAAUCACUGUCAGAUAUCAUUAUACUUGAUCCAACUAUGCCACGUCACCACUGUGCCGCGACCCCCCUGUGCUGGGUUUUUUUUUAAUUUAUAGUACGUAAAAUAAGCUUUAAUUUGACAUAUGUUUAAUGGGCACAAUAUUUCCGGGACAUUUUUAAAACUUAAGUUGAAAAUGUUGGAUUUUGUAAAUAUUUCUAUUUUGAAUUCCCCCUUAUGAACAGGUUAAAUGUCAGAUUUUCAAAAAAAAUGAUAUAAAAUGAAAGAAAAUUAUAUCUAAAGUUUCAAUAAAAAUAAAAUUUUUUGAUUCUUUCAUUUUUCAAUAAGUUAUGACAAUAAAAAAAAAAAAAAAAAAGUGAAAAAAA